rnacentral:lncRNA from 12 species
UACACGCGUUACGCGCCUCGGCACGUGCACAGAGGCGGCCCACUCCGCCCCUGCGCCUUUGCACGCCUUUCGCCGGAUGUGCACCAGCGGCCACGAAGGGCGCCCCCUCCCCCCCGUAAGUGACCUCUGGGGGUCUCCCCGGUGUUCGCGGCGGGCACCGGCUCUGCACUGUCGCUGAAAUAGGGAAUCCCGGGGUCUUCCCUGUCCGCCUCGGGGGCCAGCGUGGAGGCUGACGGCCGACCCGUGCCCAGCGUAACGAUUUGCGAGUUGCGGGGGGCGGGGGGGGGUGCGGGGGGGAUUGAAAGAGACAUCUAAGACCCGGGUGAGGACGUGUGUCACGAGGAGCAAGCCCGCGACAUGCUGGAGGAACGACAGUCACUUGAAUCAGAGCAGAAGGUGUGGCGAGCAAGAGGGGAGCAGUUAGCUUUCUCCCCCAUAGGCUCAGCUUCCAGAGUUGGACGUGAGCAUCACAGUGUCAUACAAGUGGACUCCAAAAUGGUACCAGCCAACAGCAAGAAACAAACUAAUUCAUUCAGGAUCAUCUGGUAUGCUACUAAUAGAAUGGGAAUUAAUAUUCAAAAUCAAUUUUCCUUAUUUGAACUUUUUCCAAGACAUGUUAGGUAUGCUACCAUUUUAAUAUCUAAGUGUACUAUUUAAAUAUAAUAUUCAUAUUAUUAUAAAUAUAAUAAUAGAAAUGUAAUAUUGAAGACCAUAAGCCAAUUGGGAGUCCAAAUCAAAUACUAGUACAAUGAACCCCCUCCAUCAAAUUGUACACCUUAUUUAUUGCACUGAAAUUUUACUAACGCUUAAAAUAAGAAGGCUGGAGCUUGGGACUCCUGAGCGGCUCAGUGGUUAAGCAUCUGCCUUUGGCUCAGAGUGUGAUCCCAGGGCCCAAGGACCAAGCCCUGCAUCAGGCUCCCCGCAGGGAGCCUUCUUCUCCCUCUGCCCAUGUCUCUGCCUCUCUCUGUGUCUCUCAUGAAUAAAUAAAUACGAUCUUUAAAAAACA